rnacentral:rRNA from 1 species
CCUACGGGGGGCUGCAGUGGGGAAUUUUGCGCAAUGGGCGAAAGCCUGACGCAGCAACGCCGCGUGGGUGAUGAAGGUCUUCGGAUCGUAAAACCCUGUCGUUGGGGACGAAGGUGGGGGCGUUAAUAGCGUUUCUGCUUGACGGUACCCGGAGAGGAAGCCCCGGCUAACUCUGUGCCAGCAGCCGCGGUCAUACAGAGGGGGCAAGUGUUAUUCGGAGGGCGUGUGGGUAGUGGGCUAAGUCACAUGUGUAAUCCCCGAGCUCAACUUGGUAACUGCAUCUGAGACUGGAAGGCUAGAGUACUGGAGAGGGUGGUGGAAUUCCUCGUGUAGCGGUGAAAUGCGUAGAGAUGAGGAGGAACACCAGUGGCGAAGGCGGCCACCUGGACAGUAACUGACGCUGAGGCGCGAAAGUGUGGGUAGCAAACAGGAUUAGAUACCCUGGUAGUC